CCUACGGGAGGCAGCAGUGGGGAAUAUUGCACAAUGGGGGAAACCCUGAUGCAGCGACGCCGCGUGAGUGAAGAAGUCAUUCGUUAUGUAAAGCUCUAUCAGCAGGGAAGUAAAUGACGGUACCUGAGUAAGAAGCCCCGGCUAACUACGGGCCAGCCGCCGCGGUAAUACGGAGGGGGCAAGCGUUAUCCGGAUUUACUGGGUGUAAAGGGAGCGUAGACGGCAGUGCAAGUCUGGAGUGAAAGGCGGGGGCUCAACCCCCGGAGUGCUCUGGAAACUGGACGGCUGGAGUGCAGGCGAGGCAAGUGGAAUUCCUAGUGUAGCGGUGAAAUGCGUAGAUAUGAGGAGGAACACCAGUGGCGAAGGCAGCUUACUGGACUGUAACUGACGCUGAGGCUCGAAAGCGUGGGGAGCGAACAGGAUUAGAUACCCGUGUAGUC
rnacentral:rRNA from 1 species